rnacentral:rRNA from 1 species
AUGGUACAACAAAGCAGAUGCCAGGUGUUGAGGCAGCAGUGCUGUCAGGAACUAUCACAUACCCCCAAGCGAGCACAAUGCCAUGCCAUCCACAACGUUGUGCGCGCCAUUAUUUUGCAACAACGACAACAACAAUUGGUAGAAGGUACUUUGGCCCAACCACAACAACUACUACUAGGUCAAGGUUCCAUCCAACGUCAACAACAUCAGUUGAAUCAGGGUUGGAUCGAUGCAAUAAGGACAUGGGUGCUCCAGACCCUACCGACAAUGUGCGACCUCCGCGUACCAUCAUACUGCUCCCCCACCACAUCACCGUAG